rnacentral:lncRNA from 1 species
GGAUAAUGGAGAAGCUUGCAUGCUAAACUUAUUACGAACUUUAUUUUGAAAGUAGUGGAACGUUAUUGGACCACUUCAAAAGCGGAGUGUUACGUUCAGGCUUGAAUUUUAGAAAUAUCUGUCUGGUAGCCAUGUGCAGGUUGGUUGGAAAGGGAGGCAUCAGACAGGAGACGAAUGAGAAAGCUGUUGCAGUCAUCUGGGACCCCUAUUUGUGACCAAUUGUAAGAUCAUCUGAAGAUCGAGUCCGAUUGCCUGGCCAGGCCGGGCUGGGUGGUAUGUGCCCCCGUCACGCCGGAGGUUCCUGCUUUAGCGACGCCAAAGAUUGGGUGUGAGGGCAGCCCGCGGUGACAGAGACACGGAUCGGACCGAGAGAAAAAGGCUGUGGGCUUCACUGAGCAGAGUGACGAAUUUCAACCCUUCUUGCUACAUUCAAGACAUAGAAAUCCAGCCAGAAGACAACUCGAGAUAUUUUGUGGAUCUAUGCCUUUCCUUCAGAAAAGCAAAUAUCUACCAUAAAAAAACACUGGUCCAAUAUUCACUUCUAUAAGAAAUGCAGGGGCAAAUAAAUUAUGGAUUUUAUUAUCGCUAAUAGAGUCACUUAACCAUUACUCCUUACUACAUUCUGCUUUUCUAACAAAAUUUCGACUGAAUAUUCUCCCUCAGAGCCUCCAAAAGGAACCAACUGAUGACAACUGAUUUUGGACUUCUGGCCUCCUGAACUAUAACAAAAUAAACAUCUGUUGUUUUAAGCAAGCCAGGUUGUGAUUGUUACAGAAGCUCUAGGAAACUAAAAUACUUAAUAUCUAAGUAUCUUAAAACUAAGAUACCUUCUUAUACCUUCUUAUCAUGCGAUCAUAGAAAAUAUGUCCAAUUAGUC